UUUGAGGAUUCUUCUUCGUGACACCAUCUCUAUUGAAACCCUAACUUCACCUUCUUCAUCAAGAAAUUUUUGGUUCAUUGUUUUGCAUGUUGCUUGCUAUGUUAUAGAAUUGAUGAGUAUAUCAAUCGCUAUUUGUAAUUGAAACCCUAACUAUCAAAAAGCGAUUCUGAUUCCAUCAAUCUUGCCUAAAAUCUGGUGUGUUCUUCGAUCUAAACAGGCACAGGGCGGCGGCUAGGGUUCCACCACCACAUAAAGCUGACACUUCACUCUCAUUGUUAUUGUUUUACCAUACCCGGAUUUUGACCCGACUACAUAAACUCCUUAAUUAACCUAAUUACUCAUUCGCCUCAUUCAACAACGCUGCUGUGCAAAACACGGUCGGCAUCUACUUGGUUUUGCGAUGAAGGUAAAAUAUGAUAGAUUUGGAGACAAGUUCUUUGCAAUUCAAGAGUUUAUUAUGUGGGAAG